rnacentral:rRNA from 1 species
CCUACGGGCGGCAGCAGUGGGGGAUAUUGCACAAUGGGGGAAACCCUGAUGCAGCGACGCCGCGUGUGGGAAGACGGUCCUCUGGAUUGUAAACCACUGUCCCCAGGGACGAAAAUGACGGUACCUGGGGAGGAAGCUCCGGCUAACUACGUGCCAGCAGCCGCGGUAAUACGUAGGGAGCGAGCGUUGUCCGGAAUUACUGGGUGUAAAGGGAGCGUAGGCGGGGAUGCAAGUUGGGGGUCAAAACUACCGGCUCAACUGGGAGUCGCACUCAAAACUGGAGCUCUUGAGUGAAGUAGAGGCAGGCGGAAUUCCUAGUGUAGCGGUGAAAUGCGUAGAUAUUAGGAGGAACACCAGUUGCGAAGGGGGCCUGCUGGGGCUUUACUGACGCUGAGGCUCGAAAGUGUGGGGAGCAAACAGGAUUAGAUACCCGAGUAGUC